rfam:Schistosoma rodhaini strain Burundi genome assembly, scaffold: SROB_scaffold0016758
GCACUGGUGAGGAGUCCCACCAUAGGACGAAACAGCUGUUCAGUGC